CAUACCGAUAGUGUCAAUAAAAUUUUCUACAUUUUUUUUAUUAUACUCCAUGAUAAUCGUCUUCACCGCUAACUAAAAAAUAUCAAAUUUAUAGUUUAAAUGAACUCUUAUAAUAAAUGAUAAUCAACGCUAGUGCUUCAAUACCGAAUCUUUACCAAAAGUCCCGUCAAUAUGUAGGUCUUCAGAAUGAGUGAUCUGAAGUAAUAUAAAUUUCAAGUUCGUAAUAGAAACAGUAAAGCAUGCGAACACAAAAACUCCAAAUUUAACCUACACCUGUGGAUUAAGGACCGAAAUGUGUAAUUCCAAGCGCUGAGGUCAAAUUAUAAUUUUUCAUACCGCAUGAGCGCUGAAGAAAUGAAAGAAGGAAGAGACACUGUUUAAAUAAUAUGAAAUAUCUGAAAAAUUAAAACGAUGAAAAAGGGACUGUAUAUAUGUUUGACAAAAUGUGCAAAUUUUGCUUUUAAUACGACUUUUGCUGAAGUUUUGUUUUGAUAUGGGAUCUUAAAAAUUUCCUCUAGUUUUCAUAAGUAUAAUUUCAUUAAUUAUUUGAAUCAAUAAAUCAAAAUGUAGUGACCAAA